GACGAACCGUGCGAACGUUGUUCGGGAACACUGGGCUUAAAGGGUGCGUCGGCGGGUUGUCCAGUCUGGGGUGAAAUCCCACGGCUCAACCGUGGAAUUGCCUCAGAUACUGACGACCUCGAGGGAGGUAGGGGCGAGCGGAACUGUGGGUGGAGCGGUGAAAUGCGUUGAUAUCCACAGGAACUCCGGUGGCGAAGGCGGCUCGCUGGACCUCUUCUGACGCUGAGGCACGAAAGCUAGGGGAGCAAACGGG
rnacentral:rRNA from 1 species